AACGAACGCUGGCGGCAUGCCUAACACAUGCAAGUCGAACGAGACCUUCGGGUCUAGUGGCGCACGGGUGCGUAACGCGUGGGAACCUGCCCUUAGGUUCGGAAUAACUCCCCGAAAGGGGUGCUAAUACCGGAUAAUGUCUUCGGACCAAAGAUUUAUCGCCUUUGGAUGGGCCCGCGUUGGAUUAGCUAGUUGGUAGGGUAAAAGCCUACCAAGGCGACGAUCCAUAGCUGGUCUGAGAGGAUGAUCAGCCACACUGGGACUGAGACACGGCCCAGACUCCUACGGGAGGCAGCAGUGGGGAAUAUUGGACAAUCGGCGAAAGCCUGAUCCAGCAAUGCCGCGUGAGUGAUGAAGGCCUUAGGGUUGUAAAGCUCUUUUACCCGGGAUGAUAAUGACAUUACCGGGAGAAUAAGCUCCGGCUAACUCCGUG
rnacentral:rRNA from 1 species